GAGUCUUGUUCUGAAACAAUGUGAAGCUGCAGCUUAUGGUGGAAGUGUGUUGUAAUCAUGAAGGUAGCUUGUAAGUUGACCUGAUGAUUGGAACGUUUAUUGCUAGUUAAUAGAGACCAGAAAAGAAAAGAGGAAGGUCAGGGAUAGCUGACGUUAUGGACCAGCCCUAGCAAACACCUGAGUGGCUAAGGGGCAGUGCUGAGAGCUGAUCCUGGAGUUGCUAGAGGAAUGCUUCUGCUUCAGAGCCCUGCAUGGAGGAGAAAAAACUCUCAAGAAGUGCCUUUGCUGACAAGAUUGACGCAAAUGCUAGACAGGAUUGUCUCAAGAAGCUACUCUGCCUGAAUCAUCAUCACAGGGAGAUGUGCUACUCCUGCUGCUUAUUUUGACUUCAUUUCUGCUUUGCAUUGGCAUUCAAUGAGCACUGGGAAGAAGAACUUUCCUGUUUACUGGAGAGAGAGAGAACAGAGCAUCUUUUUUGUAUAUAUCUAAAGCAGAGACAUCUGGAAGUGAGAGCCAUGGUGCAAGGAGGCCUUGUGACACUGUUCCCAUGACAAGGCUGUGUUCAUCAGACUGCAAGAAGCAUUUCACAUGCAAUGAUUUGCAGUAAAAACUACCACAGAUGGUGUGGGUUGUUUGUGGCGUUUAGGAGAUUGCAGUGUUUGGAUACAGAUCCAUCUCCACAUGUUUCUGAGAGUGCAGAGACAGAAAAACAUGGAUACACACAAGUUUUUCUUUCAGGUGAUUCAAUAAAUGCAAGCUUAUUCAAGUUUA